rnacentral:rRNA from 1 species
AACGAACGCUGGCGGCAUGCCUAACACAUGCAAGUCGAACGAGACCUUCGGGUCUAGUGGCGCACGGGUGCGUAACGCGUGGGAACCUGCCCUUAGGUUCGGAAUAACUCCCCGAAAGGGGUGCUAAUACCGGAUAAUGUCUUCGGACCAAAGAUUUAUCGCCUUUGGAUGGGCCCGCGUUGGAUUAGCUAGUUGGUAGGGUAAAAGCCUACCAAGGCGACGAUCCAUAGCUGGGCUGAGAGGAUGAUCAGCCACACUGGGACUGAGACACGGCCCAGACUCCGACGCGAGGCAGCAGUGGGGAAUACUGGAGCACGGGGGAAAGCGUGAUCCGGCCAGGCCGCGGGAGAAGGGAAGGCGUGAGGGUUGGAAAGCUCUUUUACCCGGGAGGAUAGUGACAGUACCGGGAGAAUAAGCUCCGGCUAACUCCGUG